AGUGAACGCUGGCGGUAGGCCUAACACAUGCAAGUCGAACGGCAGCACAGUAAGAGCUUGCUCUUACGGGUGGCGAGUGGCGGACGGGUGAGGAAUACAUCGGAAUCUACUUUUUCGUGGGGGAUAACGUAGGGAAACUUACGCUAAUACCGCAUACGACCUACGGGUGAAAGCAGGGGAUCUUCGGACCUUGCGCGAUUGAAUGAGCCGAUGUCGGAUUAGCUAGUUGGCGGGGUAAAGGCCCACCAAGGCGACGAUCCGUAGCUGGUCGGAGAGGAUGACCAGCAACACUGGGACUGAGACACGGCCCAGCCUCCGACGGGAGGAAGCAGGGGGGAAUUUUGGACAAUGGGGGCAACCCUGAUCCAGCCAUGCCGCGUGGGGGAAGAAGGCCUGCGGGUUGUAAACCGUUUUUGUGAGGAAAGAAAAACGCUGGGUUAAUCCCCCGGGGGGAGGACGGUACCAGAAGAAGAAGCACCGGCUAACUACGUG
rnacentral:rRNA from 1 species